GAUGCAGAUCUGUCCUGCUGGCUCAGCCCGCUCUCUUCUGUGGAGGACUCCCGGUCCUGACCUCUUUCUUCUUCCAUCUCCUCUGCAGGCCUCAUAGAAACUGGCCCUCUGCUUAGGCUCUCCUCACUUCUGUACAUUUCCACUUGGGCCCUGUGUCUUUUCUUCGGUUUCUUCAUUUUCUUCAGGAAGUACAGUUCGUGUUUUUCUGUUGAUGUCCGACACCAAAGCACAAGGAGAGACGGGUCACCCAGUGUCGCUGGACUGGGUUUCCCAGCCCACAGGAGCACAGGGACUCAAAAUGUAAAAGUGUUACCUGGUUUCCUGAACUUGAAAAUGACUUCCCCAGCCAAGUUCUACAAGGAAAAAACACAGGCUUGGUUCUGAAGACCCAUCACACAACUGCAACCUUGUUCCUCCCAUCUAGUCCUAGGAUCCAGCUGCACAGCCUCGUGGAAAUACCUGAAGAGGUCUGAGCUCUGCCACUCAGUCUGCUUGGCCAGGGCCUCGAAGGAUUUCUGCAGGGAAAGAACCCAGAAAAGGUGCCUUACGGGUUGACUAGCCCAGGACCAGAAAGAGGCCUGUCCAUGAAGCUCCAUGUCUCCAAGGACUGGAUAUCACUGUCUGGGUACCAUCCUUCAAGUUUGACAUCUGGGUCACAUCUGAGUUCUGGUACCUCCCUCCUGCCAUACCCAUCUGGGCCUGGGCACCUCUGUUCUCAUCUGCACUGAACACCAUACCUGCUGCUCAACCCCCAUGCACCACCACCAACAACCCCACUUUAAAAAUAAUAUUCAUGUCUUAUGUACCCAUCCAGGUUACAGAUUGGCAAAUUAUUUUCUGCAUGCUGAGUGUGACCCUCCAUCUAUUUUGUUUGGACCUGUGAACUAAGCACAGAUUUUCCAGUUUUAAAUGGUUGAAAAAGUUCAAAAGAAAUGAAAACAAAAGAAAAAAUGAUGUGAGAAUUUUAAGAAAUUCAAAUCCCAGUGUCCAUCAAUAAAGUUUU